AGUAGUGGUACAUGCCUUUAGUUUCAGCACUUGAGAAGCAGGUGGAUUUCUGUGAGUUCCAGGAUAGCCAGGAGUACACAGAGAAAUGCUGUCCCAAAAAACCUUUAUCCUUGUGUGUUCCUGUGUCCAUGACGCAUGUGUGCAAACAGGUGGAGGUCAGAGGGCAACUUUGUGUUGUCAUUUCUCUCCUUCCUUCUUUCUGUGGGUUCCCAGGAUGGCACUCAGGCCACUAGGCCUGAGUGGCAAAUGCCUUUACCUGCUGAGCCAUCUCGCUGGUUCUGCAUGUUAACUUGAUAAAAGUAAAAUAGCUAUGGGGUUUAGUGGUCUACAGUCAGCUACUUGGGAGACUAUGUAGGAGCACUAACGCUGUGGGCUUCCAUGGGCUGUGUGGCAAGUUUGAGGCUAGUCUGGGCAACUUUGGAGACCCUGUCUCACAUAAAUGGAUAAAUGGCCACGGAUGUGCCACUAGCCUAGAAUGCAUCGGGCCCUCGGCUCCAUCCUUAGUAAUACACGAGAGAAAACUUUUUUAAAACGUAUUUUUCUGUACACUGACGAUUUGACUGCAUGUAUGUGCACGAGGGCAUCAGAUUCCCUGGAACAGGAGCUACAGACAGUUGUGAGCUGCCAUGAGGAUGCUGGGAACUGAAUUCAGGUCCUCUGGAAGAACAGCCACUGCUCUUAACCACUGAGCCAUCUCUUAGCCUCUGUAAAAUAAAACUUUAUCCACUAGUUCAAUCGCUUAGUUUACAAGUGUUUAAUGAGCUGCAAUGUGAACGAGACACAUCACCUGCCCAUGGCGAGCAGCAUCCAGAUCCUGGCUCUCCCGCAUGAGCUGUACUGCAUUCUCCAGGGAUGUGCUGGACUUUGCCACAGUCUGACCAUGUGACCCAGAUCCCCAGACUUAAUGAAAUUCAGCAUGAGGGAAGUAGCCCCUCCUAUAAUUCAAGCCUCAGAAGGUGGAGAGAGCGGGGUGUAUCCCGGAAACUGCUGUCUAGCAAGCCUAGCUUAUCAGGGAGCCCUGGGUCUGAGUGAGAGAUCCAGCUCUGAUGAGUCCAGUGGAAGGAUGAUUCCUGAUAGCAGCCUUAGCCUUCCAUGUGCCUGUGCACCCACAUACAUGUAACCCCACGCAUGUGUAAAAUAUGGAUACACACAUAUUUGUACACACAAAUGUAAAAACAUGCUGAAAGACACAAAAAAUAUUCUUCUUUUUACCGUCUAUCCUCAAAGUAUGAUUUUCUACACUGCUAUAUGUUUAUGUGGCUUUUUCUAUAUGUCUAUUUGUGUGCAUGUCUUUAAAAUCUCUGUAUCUGUGUAUGUAUGCCCUGGCUUGUGGAGGUCAGAGGCCAACUUCAGAUCUUGGCUUUGCCUUCCGACGUGAGACAGUUUCUUCUUGUUUGCCACUGCGUACGUCAGGCUAGCUGGCCUGUGAGCGUCUGCGAUUUCUCCACCAAGGAGACUGUGAUGAGAGACACCUACUAGUUCGUCAUGCUAGGGGUCUGAACUCAGGCCCUCCUGUCUGUGCAGCAGCCCCACAGGGAGCCCCCUCCCAGCUCUGUAUGUUCUCCCUGUCUCAGGCUGAUUCGCCUGGGAAAACGAACAGCACCGUGUCUGUUAGGUCACCCGUGACUCAGCCUGUGUUUACAUUUUCCUAACUGCCCGGGCAUGUCUAGCACAAGGAUUUCCUUUGGAAUCCAUUUUGAAUGCUAAUUCCUGUUACACACAUCUGACCACGUCUCCUUCCUAAUCUAGUUUAGUUUUUCACUCUUCACAUUGACUUUUUUUUUUUUUCCCUUCAGGAUCAGAGUCUUGGAUGAGUCUAGUUUUGCCCAGCCAGGGAGGUGCUUGCCAUUCAAGCAUGAGAAACCGUGUUCACGGAAAUGCUGGGGUUGCUGACACGCUCCUGUAGCCCCAGUGGGAAGAGGCAGGUGGCUAGCCAGUGUAAAAUCCUGUCUCCAAAGUGAAGCGGAGGGCAGCUGCAUAGCUCUGUGGACAAGGGUGCCUCUGGACCUGAGCUCAAUCCUGGAGCUCACAUGAAGGUGGAAGGUGAAAGCCCGCUCCACAGAGUUGCUCGCUGAUCUCCACAGGUGUACCGAGGUACGUGUGUACACACACACAAAUAAGAAAUAAGGCGGGCCAGGUGUGGCGGUGUGCACCUUUGAUCUCAGCACUUAGGGGGCAAAGACAGAGUUCAAGGCCCUCCUGGUCUACAUAGUGAGUUCCAGGCCAGCCAGGGCUACACAGUACAACCCUGUCUUGCAAACAAACAAACCAUCAAAUAAAUAAAUAAAACAAAACAGUCAGGUGAUACCUGAUACCU
rnacentral:lncRNA from 1 species